rnacentral:rRNA from 1 species
UACGAAGGGGGGCUAGCGUUGCUCGGAAUCACUGGGCGUAAAGCGCACGUAGGCGGAUUGCUAAGUCAGGGGGUGAAAUCCUGGAGCUCAACUCCAGAACUGCCUUUGAUACUGGCGAUCUCGAGUCCGGGAGAGGUGAGUGGAACUGCGAGUGUAGAGGUGAAAUUCGUAGAUAUUCGCAAGAACACCAGUGGCGAAGGCGGCUCACUGGCCCGGUACUGACGCUGAGGUGCGAAAGCGUGGGGAGCAAACAGGG